UACGUAGGAGGCGAGCGUUGUCCGGAGUUACUGGGCGUAAAGCGUGCGCAGGCGGUUUGUUAAGCCAGAUGUGAAAGCCCCGGGCUCAACCUGGGAACUGCGUUUGGUACUGGCAAGCUAGAGUACGGCAGAGGGGGUGGAAUUCCACGUGUAGCAGUGAAAUGCGUAGAGAUGUGGAGGAACACCGAUGGCGAAGGCAGCCCCCUGGGCCGAUACUGACGCUCAGGCACGAAAGCGUGGGGAGCAAACAGG
rnacentral:rRNA from 1 species